CAGAGUGGCCUUGCUGCCAC
rnacentral:snRNA from 1 species